CUUCGUGAUGUAGUGAGAGGUCGUGCCUGCCCACUGAUGUUUAAAGGGCCGCGGUAUUUUGACCGUGCAAAGGUAGCAUAAUCAGUAGUCUUUUAAUUGGGGACUGGUAUGAAUGGUUUGACGAGAUAACAUCUGUCUCUUGUGUAUGAAUUGAAUUUCACUUUUGAGUAAAAAGGCUUAAAUAAUGGUUGGGGACGAGAAGACCCUAUAGAUCUUGAUUUGUUUUUAUGAUUAAUUAAUUUGGUUGAUUAAAUAUUUUUUGUAGGAGUGGAUUUUAUUGGGGUGAUGUAGGAAUAGAAGAAACUUCUUGUUAUGUUUACUUUAAUUGUUGGUUAUUGGAUCCUUUAUUAUGGAUUUAAGAUAAAGAUACCUUAGGGAUAACAGCGUUAUUUUAUUUGAGAGUUCUUAUCGACAAUAAAGAUUGCGACCUCGAUGUUGGAUUAAGGUUAUGAUUUGGUGAAGAGGCUAAAUUGUGUGGUCUGUUC
rnacentral:rRNA from 1 species